AUCACUCAUCCAAGCCUUGUUUUUGAGAUCUGGACUCCAAGCCUGGAGUGUAAUUGAACGUGAAUAAUUGAAGCACUAUAUCUUUUGGAAUACGAGUGAGGCGUGAGUCGUGAACAGACUAGCGUAGUCUAGUUGCUCUUG